GAGUAAUGCGUAGGAAUCUACCUAGUAGUACGGAAUAGCCAUUAGAAAUGGUGGGUAAUACUGUAUAAUCCCCGAGGGGGAAAGAUUUAUCGCUAUUAGAUGAGCCUACGUUAGAUUAGCUAGUUGGUGAGGUAAUGGCUUACCAAGGCUAUGAUCUAUAGCUGGUCUGAGAGGACGAUCAGCCACACUGGAACUGAGAUACGGUCCAGACUCCUACGGGAGGCAGCAGUGGGGAAUAUUGGACAAUGGGCGAAAGCCUGAUCCAGCUAUGCCGCGUGAGUGAAGAAGGCCUUCGGGUUGUAAAACUCUUUCA
rnacentral:rRNA from 1 species